AAGAGUUAAAGGUAACUGACCUUUAAAGGCCGACUAACCUGUGAGAUCCAUCUCUCAUGGAUAUGUAGAUGUGCAAUGGCAGGGAAAGGCCAAUCUAUGGAUGUAAACCAAAGUCGGUGUCUGGUGAGGCUGUGGUACAGAACUUCAGCCUGUGCAUCACGGCUCAGCUAACCGGCUCUCUGCUGUUUCCUGUCAAUAAGCAUCCAAACUGAAAGAACUCAUUCCCCAUGUGGGCCUGAGUUCCACAAUGAAGUGGAACCAGACGUCCAAGAAUUGGAGACGAAUUGGAGAUGAUGAAGAUCGAGACGAUGACGACGAUGAUGUUGAUGAAGAUGGAAAUGCUGCAGUCUGCUUGUGUCCACUUCAUAGCAGCCAAACACACCACUCCCUUCACACGCUACGUGGAGCACAUCAACUACCGGCUGGCCUCCUGUCACUUCUUCUCCUGCUGUCACCUUUCCGUAGCUUUUCAC
ensembl:lncRNA